GCAAUCUCGGUAUAUUCGAUGCUAGCACUCUGCUACACACAGUUCUCUUGCAUGCACUGCAACUUUGUCGCUUGAAACUUCAAGUUACUUUUGUGACACUGGAGUCUCAUUUUGAGUCAACGAACUUGAUUAUUGCCUCCAACCCGGCGACCUCGCGUGGCAGUCGUUUAGCUAACUGCGCUAACUGGCUCGAGCUCAGCGUUCUGGUCAACACGCACUCUGUCCCUUGAAAUCUGCAGACUCACUAAGAUUUUAGGAUCUCCAAAGAAAAAUUGAAGUGACAGCGAGGCCAUAAAACAUCACGAUGGUUUUGGACAGAGACAGCGUUACUGCCAACAGCAGCGCUGGCUGGGGUGAACCGCACUCACGGAAGCAAGUGCCAGCCUCGAAUUAUGGCAACAAGAGCUGCCUUAAGAACAGCAGCAGCAGCAGCAAGCAACCGCAUGGCUCGUGCUCGACUAACAAGCAAAACAACAGCGGGUCCUGGGGCCCAGUCUUCAAAAACAGGGACAACUUCAACUCGAUGCACCACUUCUAACAACGAAAAUCUUCUUAACUUAAACUUACGCAUACUUAAGAAAAAUAUCGUAACGUUCGUCUCGAUCAUUAUCGAUUUUUAUAAGAUAAUGAUCGCUAGUGGAGUUCAACUGUAAAAACAUCGGUUAUUCUGCAGCAAACUUGAUAGAUCUCACCAUAAAAAAUUAAAGUUUGCAAAUAUAACAUUCUACAAAAGUAAUCAAUAUAAUUAUUAUAGACGUGUCGUCUAGCAUGAGGCAUUGCGGAGAGGAGGAAAAGAACUAGUCUUUAAUAUUAGUUUUCAUGGCUCAUUAUGUAGUGCUAAGUAUAGUAGAUCAAUUAUUUAUACUUAAUUUCAAUAUCAUUUAUUGUUAUAAUUACCCUUAAGUUUAUUAACUGAUGUUUACAAAGAGCUAAAGUAAAUCUU